AGUGAACGCUGGCGGUAGGCCUAACACAUGCAAGUCGAACGGCAGCACAGUAAGAGCUUGCUCUUACGGGUGGCGAGUGGCGGACGGGUGAGGAAUACAUCGGAAUCUACUUUUUCGUGGGGGAUAACGUAGGGAAACUUACGCUAAUACCGCAUACGACCUACGGGUGAAAGCAGGGGAUCUUCGGACCUUGCGCGAUUGAAUGAGCCGAUGUCGGAUUAGCUAGUUGGCGGGGUAAAGGCCCACCAAGGCGACGAUCCGUAACUGGUCUGAGAGGAUGAUCAGCCACACUGGAACUGAGACACGGUCCAGACUCCUACGGGAGGCAGCAGUGGGGAAUAUUGGACAGUGGGCGCAAGCCUGAUCCAGCCAUACCGCGUGGGUGAAGAAGGCCUUCGGGUUGUAAAGCCCUUUUGUUGGGAAAGAAAAGCAGCAGGUUAAUACCCCGCUGUUCUGACGGUACCCAAAGAAUAAGCACCGGCUAACUUCGUG
rnacentral:rRNA from 1 species